UACGUAGGGGGCAAGCGUUGUUCGGAAUUACUGGGCGUAAAGGGCGCGUAGGCGGCACGGCAAGUCAGGAGUGAAAGCCCGGGGCUCAACCCCGGAACUGCUUUUGAAACUGCCGAGCUAGAGUGCGGAAGGGGCAACCGGAAUUCCCAGUGUAGCGGUGAAAUGCGUAGAUAUUGGGAAGAACACCUGAGGCGAAGGCGGGUUGCUGGGCCGACACUGACGCUGAGGCGCGAAAGCCAGGGGAGCGAACGGG
rnacentral:rRNA from 1 species